rnacentral:rRNA from 1 species
CAUGUAGGCGGCUCGAUAAGUCAAAUGUGAAAUCCCAUGGCUUAACCAAGGAACUGCAUUUGAAACUGCCGAGCUUGAGUGCGAAAGAGGAGAGUGGAAUUCCCGGUGUAAGGGUGAAAUCUGUAGAUAUCGGGAGGAACACCAAUAGCGAAGGCAACUCUCUGGUUCGAUACUGACGCUGAUAUGCGAAAGCUAGGGGAGCAAACA